GUUGUGAGUAAUUAGAUUGUUUUUUGCUGCGUUUAGGUUGUACCACGUCGUUGUUCUCGCGUACUUUUGUGCUCAUAGACGCGAAGUGAGCGUCCGGAGUGAAGACGACGCGAUUGUGCGUGAGAAAGAAGGGCAGCAGCGGCCUACGACAUCGGUGUUUCUUUGUGACAGUGUGUUUACUACGCCUACGACGGCCGUCAUUCGUGGCGACGGAGAAAACAUCUUCCAUUCGGCCUGAACAGUGAUGAAGUGGACGUUUUGUUUUUCGGCGGAAUCCAUCGUCAACAUCGUCCAUCCACUACGUAAUCGAAAUGGUGUGCCCACAGUACACAUCGUGGCAGCGCUCCGCCUUCAAACCGAGGGCCUUUUGCAAGGCGCAUGAACUGCUCAUAUAAAAGUUACAGUCAGCAUGAAGCAAUUGCAUGGGAACCGACUGGCUGUCUUGGGCCUACACAUUGCUGAAAAGACAGUGAAGAUGUCUGAACCGACAGGUAGAAAAGAAGCAGAUGGCUACAGCGAUCAGUGAAGAAAUGGCUUCAUCUAUGAUGGCUCGCCUUAGGACAUUGGAAUGCAGCUACACAAAGGCAUCAUCAUCCUCGCCUCUGCCCUGGAACUUUGGUUUGAAUGAGACUGUUCUUCACCGUAGAACGGCCACAAGACUUGUCACCACAUACAAGGCAUAGUGCAAGCUCUAAAUAUUGUACAGGAGGCUAGAAUAAAUGACCCUCCAUGCAGUCACUCUGUGUCUGUGGUAAAUGGGACCAUCACACAUGAUUAUGUGUUUUCUCUCAAAGUUGCUAUGCCGUGCGUUUGGAAACACAUUACCUAUUGUAUGCACACCAUACAUAACAUUUCUGUGUGCUAGCCUGACUGUGGACUUACGAAACAAACAAUGAAGUGCAUAUCAACCCGCAUCCACAUGCCAUACUUCAAGGGUUAUUAUAUUGCUCAUUACACCCGAUAGG